rnacentral:rRNA from 1 species
CUAAAACAUCCGCAGCUUGCUAAGUGAGUCUCCUGUGAAAUCUAAUAUCUCAAGUAUUAGGCGAGCAAGAGAUACUGCUUAGCUAGAGACCGGGAGGCGUAGGAAGUACAGUUAGGGUAGCGGUAAAAUGCGUUGAUCCUUACUGGACUAACAAUCGCGAAGGCAUCCUACGAGAACGGUUCUGACGGUCAGGGAUGAAGGCUAGGGUCGCAAAACGGAUUAGAUACCCGUGUAGUCCUAGCAGUAAACACUGCACACUAAACAUCGGUGCCUCCUCGAGAGGCAUCGGUGCUGUAGGGAAGCCGGAGAGUGUGCUACCUGGGAAGUAUAGCCGCAAGGCCGAAACUUAAAGGAAUAGGCGGGGGGGUACUACAACCAGUGACGCGUGCGGUUCAAUUGGAUUCCACACCGAGAACCUCACCAGAGUCGACAGCAGAAUGAAGGUCAGUCUGAAGGGCUUACCUGACACGCUGAGAGGUGUUGCAUGGCCGACGUCAGCCUGUGUCGUGAGAUGACCUGUUAAAUCAGGUAACAGGCGAGACCCGUGUGCAUAUUUACACCUGUACAAUAUGUAG